ACUGCUCAGUAACACGUGGAUAACCUGCCCAAGGGUCUGGGAUAACCCCGGGAAACUGGGGAUAAUACCGGAUGGAUCACUAGUGCUGGAAUGCUUGGUGGUCGAAAGGUAACGCCUUUGGAUGGGUCUGCGGCGGAUUAGGUUGACGCCGGUGUAACGUACCGGCGUGCCUGUAAUCCGUACGGGUUGUGGGAGCAAGAGCCCGGAGAUGGAUUCUGAGACACGAAUCCAGGCCCUACGGGGCGCAGCAGGCGCGAAAACUCUACAAUGCAGGCAACUGCGAUAGGGGGACAUCGAGUGGCAUCCACCUUGGGUGCCUGUCCAACCGUCUAAAAAACGGUUGUUAGCAAGGGCCGGGUAAGACCGGUGCCAGCCGCCGCGGUAAUACCGGCGGCUCGAGUGGUGGCCGAUAUUAUUGAGUCUAAAGGGUCCGUAGCCGGCUUUGCAAGUCCCCUGGGAAAUCCAGCGGCUUAACCGUUGGGCUUUCAUGGGAUACUACAUUGCUUGGGACUGGGAGAGGUAAGAGGUACUCGGGGGGUAGGGGUGAAAUCCUGUAAUCCUCCGGGGACCACCGGUGGCGAAGGCGUCCUACCAGAACAGGUCCGACGGUGAGGGACGAAAGCUAGGGGCACGAACCGGAUUAGAUACCCGGGUAGUCCUAGCCGUAAACGAUGCCCGCUAGGUGUCACGACGGUCGUGAAUCGUCGUGGUGCCGUAGGGAAGCCGCGAAGCGGGCCACUUGGGAAGUACGGCCGCAAGGCUGAAACUUAAAGGAAUUGGCGGGGGAGCAC
rnacentral:rRNA from 1 species